CUACGGGCUGCUGCAGUGAGGAAUAUUGCACAAUGGGGGGAACCCUGAUGCGGCAACGCCGCGUGGAGGAUGACGCAUUUCGGUGUGUAAACUCCUUUUAUAUGUCAAGAAAAUGACGGUAGCAUAUGAAUAAGCACCGGCUAACUCCGUGCCAGCAGCCGCGGUAAUACGGAGGGUGCAAGCGUUACUCGGAAUCACUGGGCGUAAAGGACGCGUAGGCGGGUUGGAAAGUCAGGUGUGAAAUCCUACAGCUUAACUGUAGAACUGCACUUGAAACUUCUAAUCUAGAGUAUGGGAGGGGGAGAUGGAAUUAGUGGUGUAGGGGUAACAUCCGUAGAUAUCACUAGGAAUACCUAAAGCGAAGGCGAUCUCCUGGAACAUUACUGACGCUAAGGCGUGAAAGCGUGGGGAGCAAACAGGAUUAGAUACCCUCGUAGUC
rnacentral:rRNA from 1 species